AAGUCGUAACAAGGUUUCCGUAGGUGAACCUGCGGAAGGAUCAUUACAUCGUAUUGUCGGGGGCUGGCUGGGUAUCGUGAAUCUCGCGCUCUAUCCUGCUUGUCCUGUCUGCACAUUACCCCUGUUUUUUGCGUACCUUAUUGUUUCCUCGGCAGGCUUGCCUGCCAGUAGGACCUUUUAAACCUCUUUGUAUUAGCAAUCAGCGUCAGAAAAAAUUAAAUGGUUACAACUUUCAACAACGGAUCUCUUGGUUCUG
rnacentral:misc_RNA from 1 species